rnacentral:rRNA from 1 species
UAGGGAAUCUUCGGCAAUGGGGGGAACCCUGACCGAGCAACGCCGCGUGAGUGAAGAAGGUUUUCGGAUCGUAAAGCUCUGUUGUUAAGGAAGAACGAGUGUGAGAAUGGAAAGUUCAUACUGUGACGGUACUUAACCAGAAAGGGACGGCUAACUACGUGCCAGCAGCCGCGGUAAUACGUAGGUCCCGAGCGUUGUCCGGAUUUAUUGGGCGUAAAGCGAGCGCAGGCGGUUAGAUAAGUCUGAAGUUAAAGGCAGUGGCUCAACCAUUGUAGGCUUUGGAAACUGUUUAACUUGAGUGCAGAAGGGGAGAGUGGAAUUCCAUGUGUAGCGGUGAAAUGCGUAGAUAUAUGGAGGAACACCGGUGGCGAAAGCGGCUCUCUGGUCUGUAACUGACGCUGAGGCUCGAAAGCGUGGGGAGCGAACAGGAUUAGAUACCCUGGUA